rnacentral:rRNA from 1 species
UGUGCCGCCCUGAAGGGCGUAUGGUGGAUGCCUUGGCAGACAGUACCGAUGAAGGACGUUUGAGGAUGCGAUAAGCCUCGGGGAGCCUCCAACAUGGCUUCGAUCCGAGGAUUUCCGAAUGGGGCAACCCGCCGGCCGUCAUGGGCCGGCACGGAACCUUGUUGUUCCGGGGGUACGCAGGGAAGUGAAACAUCUCAGUACCUGCAGGAAGGGAUACUCCGUGAGUAGUGGCGAGCGAAAGCGGAUCAGACCAAACCAUGGGCGCGUGAUACCCGUCGGGGGUUGCGUCCGUGGUGUUGAGGGAGCGUGUGUCCCGGUUCCGACGGACCGGGCGGGAGUCAUAAAACGGCUUGCCAGGGGAACAGGCUUGAAGGCCUGGCCGCAGAGGGUGCCAGCCCCGUACCUGGAAGCUUGCCGUCUUCCGAUCAUGCGUCCCAAGUAGCGCGGGCCUCGUGGAAUCCCGUGUGAAUCCGCCCCGACCGUGGGGUAAGUCUAAGCAUACCUGUCUGACCGAUAGCGUACCAGUACCGUGAGGGAAAGGUGAAAAGCACCCCGGGAGGGGAGUGAAAGAGUUCCUGAAACCGUGCGCCUACAAUCCGUCGGAGCCUUCUUUGUGGGGUGACGGCGUGCCUAUCGAAAAAUGAGUCUGCGAGUCAGUGGUGCGUGGCGAGGCUAACCCGUCGUGGGGGAGCCGUAGCGAAGGCGAGUCUCAAAAGGCGUUUUGAGUCGCGUGCCCUGGACCCGAAGCGGGAUGAUCUAGCCCUGGGCAGGUUGAAGCGCGGGUAAGACCGCGUGGAGGACCGAACCCACCUGGGUUGAAAACCGGGGGGAUGACCUGGGGCUAGGGGUGAAAGGCCAAUCAAAUUCCGUGAUAGCUGGUUCUCUCCGAAAUGCAUUUAGGUGCAGCGUCGGUUGAUUGCAUCGCGGGGGUAGAGCUACUGGAUGCUUGCGGGCCCGUGUCGGGUACCAAUAGCAGCCAAACUCCGAAUACCGUGGAUGUGUAUUCCGGCAGUGAGUCGGCGGGGGAUAAGCUCCGUCGUCGAGAGGGAGACAGCCCAGAUCGUCGUCUAAGGUCCCGAAGCGUGUGCUAAGUGGGAAAGGAUGUGGAGUCGCAUAGACAGCCAGGAGGUUGGCUCAGAAGCAGCCAUCCUUGAAAGAGUGCGUAACAGCUCACUGGUCUAGUGGUUCCGCGCCGACAAUGUAGCGGGGCUCAAGCACACCACCGAAGACGCGGCAACGGCCUUUUCGGCCGUUGGGUAGGAGAGCGUCCCGCGUGGGGCGAAGCGGCCGUGGAAACGUGCCGUGGACCGCGCGGGAGCGAGAAUGCAGACAUGAGUAGCGAGAGACGGGUGAGGAUCCCGUCCGCUGGAUGACCAAGGGUUCCGGGGCCACGUUCGUCGUCCCCGGGUGAGUCGGGUCCUAAGGCGAGGCCGACAGGCGUAGUCGAAUGGAUGAACGGGUGGAUAUUCCCGUACCGGCAGCGAACCGCAAGAGCCGAACGGAUGAGUACUAACCUCCGGUCGCGUGGCGUCGUUCCCUUCGGGGUUCGGUGUCCGCGAUUGUUGGGAGCGUAGUCCUGGUAGGUUAGCGCACAGGGGUGACACGGAAUGGGAGCCGGCCGCGGAGGUGGUUUUCCGUGGUCAAGCACGCAGCCCGUCCCAUAGGCAAAUCCGUGGGACAUGUAGGGUGAGGUGCGAUGAUGGGCGCCUUUUGGCGCGAUAUCCGGUGGUCCAGGCCGUCGAGAAAAGCCUCGGCGCGAGGGGCGUUGCCGCCCGUACCCCAAACCGACACUGGUGGUCAGGUAGAGAAUACCAAGGCGAUCGAGCGAAUCCUGGUCAAGGAACUCGGCAAAUCACUCCCGUGCCUUCGGUAUAAGGGAGACCCCCGGACGUGAAGAGGCUUGCCCUCGGAGCGUCGGGGGGUGGCACAGACCAGGGGGUAGCGACUGUUUACCAAAAACACAGGUGCAUGCGAAGGCGCAAGCCGCUGUAUAUGCACUGACGCCUGCCCGGUGCCGGAAGGUUAAGAGGAUCCGUCAGCCCUCGGGUGAAGCGGUGAAUUCAAGCCCCGGUAAACGGCGGUGGUAACUAUAACCAUCCUAAGGUAGCGAAAUUCCUUGUCGGGUAAGUUCCGACCUGCACGAAUGGUAAGCGCAGAAGGACGAAAAGACCCCGGGACCUUUACUAUACCUUGGUAUUGGCGUUAGGCGCGGAUUGUGUAGCAUAGGCGGGAGGCUUCGAAGCGCGGGCGCCAGCCCGUGUGGAGCCGCAAGGUGAAAUACCGCUCUGUUCUCGUUUGACGUCUAACCUCGGCAAGUCAUCCUUGUCAGGGACAGUGCCUGGCGGGUAGUUUAACUGGGGCGGUUGCCUCCCAAAGAGUAACGGAGGCGCUCAAAGGUCCGCUCAGCCCGGUUGGCAAUCGGGUUUCGAGUGUAAUCGCACAAGCGGGCUUGACUGCGAGAGCGACGGUUCGAGCAGGGACGAAAGUCGGAGAUAGUGAUCCGGUGCCGGCGCACGGGCGCGGCAUCGCUCAACGGAUAAAAGGUACCCCGGGGAUAACAGGCUGAUCAUUCCCAAGAGUCCAUAUCGACGGGAUGGUUUGGCACCUCGAUGUCGGCGACAGUUUGGUCUCUAUCCUCUGCGCUCGUUGGAAUCCUGAGGAGGCCUGCCCAUAGUACGAGAGGACCUGGGUGGACGGACCUCUGGUAUGCCGGUUGUCGCGCCAGCGGCAUGGCCGGUUGGCUACGUUCGGGAGGGAUAACCGCUGAAAGCAUCUAAGCGGGAAGCCUGCUCCAAGAUUAGGAUUCCUUGGCACUUCGGUGCCUGUAGCCCGCAUGUGGAACACGUGUUCGAUAGGCCGGAGGUGGAAGUCCCGCGAGGGGUGGAGCCGACCGGUACUAACGGGCGAUCGCGGCACAUU